GAUAAAAUUUAUUCAACACGCAGAAACAAACAUAGUCAGAAUCUCACUUCAUUUUGAAACAAGUCAAUGAAACAAGUUAUAGCAAUACACUAACCAAAACAUGAUUAAGAGUUAUUCAACACAAAAUAAAACGUUGACAAAAUACCACUUUAUUUAGAAAGGAUUAUUAUUAUUUUUAGCAAUACCUUAUCCAAAACAUGAUAAAGAUUUAUUCAACACAAAAAAAAAAAAUGCUGUCUCACUUUAUUUUGAGACAAUGACAACAAUUAUACCUAUAAGAAAACACUUGCUUACAGAGUUAUUAAACACAAAACCAAUUAAGAUUGGGUGCGAACAUGUAGGGUGUGAAAGUGAAAGGGGUGAAAAUGAGUGGGCGCAAACGUGAAUGGAAGCGAACGGACCCAGAUUCAGACUAUGUACCAGUGAGAAAUAUACAAGCCUUUCUACGGUAUUUAUUUGUACAAUUCAGCUAGUCUUGACCUAUUCAUUU
rnacentral:lncRNA from 1 species